UACGAAGGGGGCUAGCGUUGCUCGGAAUCACUGGGCGUAAAGCGCACGUAGGCGGUCUUUUAAGUCAGGGGUGAAAUCCUGGAGCUCAACUCCAGAACUGCCUUUGAUACUGAGAGGCUUGAGUCCGGGAGAGGUGAGUGGAACUGCGAGUGUAGAGGUGAAAUUCGUAGAUAUUCGCAAGAACACCAGUGGCGAAGGCGGCUCACUGGCCCGGUACUGACGCUGAGGUGCGAAAGCCAGGGGAGCAAACGGG
rnacentral:rRNA from 1 species